UGAUGUCAUACAGAAAACGUCCCGGUAGACGGAACAGAUAUGACGGCUGGUUACACAAAGGAAAGGGGGUUGGGCUUGAAUGAAAGAGCGGGAAAAUUUAGGAACAGAGAAACAGCAGCUAUGCUAUCGUAAAUACAUUAUCUUAUGCAUUCUAAAUUACCGCCCAUUUGGAAAAGGAAAAUGCAAUAAAUAUUUACUCUGAGCUGCGCUUCGGUAGAUUGGUCGUAGAUGCUGGCCGGGUUGGCCAACAGAUCUCCCUGUUUUCGGAAGAAUGUCAAUGGUGGUCCAUUGGAUACGUGGUGGUAUCUUCGUCUGGUUGUUAGACUGGAUCCGUCGUCCGUCCUUUCCUAACCCACGUUAGCAGCGGCCGCUGCUAACUCAACGGCUAGGAAGUAGCACUUCUGUAGUGAAUAAGCUCAAAGUUCAUACCAGUUCAUACCAGAGCUCACGCCGAGGUUGGCUUAGUUCUGUACUUGACAUGUGUGUCCUUCUAACGUAGAGGCUGCAGACCUCCCGUACUGGAACCAACCUGGUUAUCUUUUCGUCAAAGGAUUAUAUAGUAGAGAGGGGGAGGGAGGUGUUUCAUCGUUUAUAACCGCUGUCUCUUCACAGGGUUGGGCCACUGAUCGAGCAGGGCACUUUCCUUAUGAAAACCCAAUUCUCUCGUUUGGAAGCUAAAAUUACAUUUCAUCUCCUAACAAACAUUUUCAAUAUCAAACAUUUCAAUUGCAUAACAAUUCCAUGUGACUCUGAUAACUAGAGGGUGGAUACUUUCCCAGGUACAGUUUAUGUCAUCCUGUCAUCAAUCAUAAUGUCUCAGAUGACAACUGAAAUGAAAUCCAUACUCAUUACGUUAUCAAGCAUAUUUCCAACUGGUUUUAUUAACAAAAUAUGGUUCCUUUUCCCCAUUUGUUUGAUGUUCCCAGACUCUCUAUAUUUAACACAGGCUAUUCACGUCCUUCAGUAGAUUCAGAGGGGAAGAGAGAAAGAUUUUCCCAAAAGAAAGCCCUGCCCAGUGUUCAAUAACAUGAAUACAUAGUCAGAUUGUGUCAUUAUACUGCGUACAUUGAGAUCUUUCAUCUGACUAACAACUGUGAACAUUUCACCAGUGCAAAAGGAUUCCACAGAUGAUCCCUUACUGUCAAUGGAAAAUCAAGGGGAGUUUGAAAUCACAACAGAAAGCACACUACAUGGAAUGAGCAAAGAGAGUGGCCUGACAACUUUAGGUCCAUAUCCAUCCCAGUCACCGGGUGACAGUGAAAAGAAGGGGGAAUUCAUCACACCUAUCCUUCCCAGCACAACAGAAGAAACAGAGAAGAUUUUCCCAAAAGAAAGCCCUGCCCAGUGUUCAAUAACAUGAAUACAUAGUCAGAUUGUGUCAUUAUAAUGAUUGGCCAACCAUCUUAGUGUCUGAGCACUUGUCAUCACUGCGUACAUUGAGAUCUUUCGUCUGACUAACAACUGUGAACAUUUCACCAGUGCAAAAGGACCUUUCCUAAAUCCACAAAGAUUGAGACUGUAGAUUUGUAAGCACGGAGUGUUUGUAUAAACUGUGAAGUGAAGUGUAUCGCUGGUGAGGAGCAGUCUACCCUUAACCUGACCAGCAUAACAUGAGGAGGGACUUCGCUUCGUCGCGCAAUGAUGAUGUCAUUUGUCCAAUGUCACUCGUCCAAUGCCACUUCUAUGACCAGAAUCGUUUCUUAUACUUAGUCCAAGUACCUAAAAGAUGAACAAUACAUAGGUAAAGCUAAGUUAAAUCAAGACAGUGUAUUAUAUAACGAUUAUUCGACUAAUAAAUUCUUCCAUCAGAUGUCAGUGUUAUUUUAGCGUUGACUUUGCAUAAACUAAUUUAUUUAUUAAAGAAGUUCAAAAUGUUACAUUGGACCUAAGCUAUAGUAUAGCUUCUCUCUGUUGCUUCAGUAUUCCAACACUUUUUACCUCCUCGUAAUUUGUUCAACCAUAUUCUAAUGUUUUCAGUGUAUCGCUGCUUAUCAAUUCCUCAACCAAACGUUAUUUAUUGAAAACAUGGAAAUAGAUUGUAUUUUGUUCCUUUUCUGUAUUAGUUACUACUUUUUCCAAUGAAAUGUGUUUCCAUCAUAUUUUUCAGAAUAUAUAGUAUUCAAACCUGUUUUCACUGGUGAAAUUUUGGCAGUCUAAAGUUCUCCCUUUGUAUUUAACCUCUCUGUGUGCAUGUAAGUAAAUGUUCAAAUGAUCAAAA
rnacentral:lncRNA from 1 species